UACGUAGGGUGCAAGCGUUGUCCGGAAUUAUUGGGCGUAAAGAGCUCGUAGGCGGUCUGUCGCGUCUGCUGUGAAAACUCAGGGCUUAACCCUGAGCUUGCAGUGGGUACGGGCAGACUAGAGUGCGGUAGGGGAGACUGGAAUUCCUGGUGUAGCGGUGAAAUGCGCAGAUAUCAGGAGGAACACCGGUGGCGAAGGCGGGGUCUCUGGGCCGUAACUGACGCUGGAGGAG
rnacentral:rRNA from 1 species